GACGAACGCUGGCGGCGUGCUUAACACAUGCAAGUCGAACGAAGUGGCGAACGGGUGAGUAACGCGUAAUCAACCUGCCCUUCAGAGGGGGACAACAGUUGGAAACGACUGCUAAUACCGCAUACUGAAGGAGGGGAUUGCGUCUGAUUAGAUAGUUGGAGGGGUAACGACCCACCAAGGCGAUGAUCACUAGCCGGGCUGGAAGGUUGAACGCGCACAUUUGGAUUGAGGCCCGGUGCUGCUUCCUAUGGGAGGCAGCAGGGGGGAAUUUUCCGGAAUGGAGGUAACUAUGACGGAGCAACGGCGCGGGAGUGAUGACGGCCUUCGGGUUGUAAAGCUCUGUUAGGCGGGAAGCGGUACCGGAAGAGAAAGCCACGGCUAACUACGUGCCAGCAGCCGCGGUAAUUC
rnacentral:rRNA from 1 species